rnacentral:lncRNA from 10 species
UUCAUAUAAAUCUUUUGUCUUAUUACCAUCUUGGUUCUAUUGUAAAUCUUCAGAUUUGACCUGGGCAACCAACUCUUCUAAAAUGCCUCAGUUCAGAAAGGCAAUCCUCAACAUUAGCACAUUUAACUAUGAACAAACUAAGGCAUCUGUCAAUGACUAGACUCACCCUGAUGCCUAUUUUGAAAUACAUAUCCCUGGGAAUCACUCUUCUGAAAUUUUGAUUUGCAGGUCAGGGAUGGGAAAUUCUGAUGCACAGCCAGAUUUGGAACCAGAAAUAAAGCACAUGGUUCAAGUAAUGCCAAACUGGUAAAGGCAAUUCAUUACUUUAAUAGUCUUAUGAUAACUCUAGCUUUUUGAAGGAUUAAAUUUGGGACAAAAAGUGAGGUCUAAAUCACAUGUCUGUCAGAUACAGAAUAUUUCAGUCUAUACGAGAAUGAGGAGAUAUAUUAUCUUACAGAGGUACUGAGAAGCUCAAUCAAAAGUGAUUGAGAUGUGGUUCCUGCCUUUCAUAUGCUCUCAGUCUGCUGAGAAAAAUAGCAGAUAAACAAGUAAGUAGUAUACAAUAUAGCGUAUGUAAGAUUUGUUGUAGAAACAAAGAACUACGGAACAGAGAAGGGACAAAAACGGGCUCAGCAGGAGGCAGAGGUGGAAGACUUCAUGGAGAAAAUGACACUUUUGUUGGAUACAAAAGGAUGCAAAGAAUUUAAUGAAGUCAAGGUAUCUAAAAUAUACCUUUUCAAAUACAAGAAAAAGCACAUGGAAAACUGUAGGCUUUUGAAAGUGCAUGAGAGUAUAAUCCACAUAAAAACCAGUGUUCCAGUUUGUGCGUGGUACAAUAUUCAAAAUAAACCAAAACAAAAGAAUUUGACAACCAAAAGUGAUUUAAAAAUAAUUCAAAUUUAAUUGCAUAUCCUGAAAUUUUUCACAUAAACCAAACUAAGUGAAGUUAAUCAUUAUAGGUCUUACAUGUACCUUCCUUUCCUUAAUGUAUGAACUCCUGGCAACUGAGAUCUUCUUCCCUGAUCCAAUCUCCUACUUCCUGCCUCGUCACCCCUUAUCCUUGUUAACAUUUUUUAACCUUCAUUCUUUCAGCUAACUGUAUUUAAACUAGUUAUUCUCCAAACUCUACAUUUAUACACCCCUUGAGUUGAGGAUAUAAAGUUGAGAAAUUAGGAAGGUGAAAGUGGCUCAAGUUUAUAGAGCGGAGUACCAGAGAAGAGAGAGCUGCACAGAGAGAGCUCAGGAGAUCUGCAAGGGGUUACCAUUCAGUAUUCAGCUGAGUACUGACCAACAUAUGUAUGUGAGAAAACUAUCAAAUAUUAGGGAAAGAGCAACCUGAAAGAAUUAAAGGUAACAUGCCUGACAUUCACCCAGAUCUGGGAAACAUGCUUUGCUCCAGUGAGACUAGUAUACCUUAUGAUUAUGAAGGAUUGGGUAGAAUACACAGAACAAUAUUGCCUCAAUAGUGCAAAAAUAAUUAUUCCUAGAUUAAAUACAAUCCUGGUACUCCUUAUCAAAUCUUAGAAGCAAGGCACAAAAGAUUCAAUUGCUUCCAAGUAACUAAGCUAAAUCACAGAACAAAGCUCAAGAAUAUUCAUAAGAAAACAAAAAACAUCUGAACACAAGAGGGUAAAAUACAUGAUGGAUGACAUUCAAUAAAAAAUUACUAGUGCUAUAGCCUGAAUAUUUAUGUCUUCCCAAAAUUCAAAUGUUGAAAUCUUAACCCCCAAGGUGAUGGUAUUAGGAUGUGGGACCAUUUGGGAGGUAAUUAGGUCAUGAUGGCAGAGCCCUCAAAAAUGGAAUUGGUGUUUUUGUAAAAGGAGUUAAGAGAGCUGCAUUGCCUCUUCCACUAUGUGAAGAAGACAUAGUGAGAAGGCACCAUGUAUGAGAAAGUGGGACCUCACCAGAUACCAAAUUUGCUGUCACCUUGAUUUUGGACUUACCAGCCUCUAGAACUGUGAGGAAUAAAUUGCUGUUAUUUAUAAGCUAUCCAGUUUAUGGUAUUUUGCUACAUCAGCCCAAAUAUAUUAAUUAGACAUAUGAAGAGGGAAGAAAGUACUAUGUACUUUAGAAAAAAAGUACUACUUUUAGAAAAAAGACUAAAUCUGUCAAAAUCAGUGCAGAGCUGACAUAGAUGUUAAAAUUAGCAGACAAGUAUAUUAAAAUGAUUAUUAUUACUGCAUUUAGAUAUACACAAUCUGAAAUAAAGACAUGGAAGAUAUAAAAAUAACCAAAUCAAAAUUUUAGAGCUAAAACUAUAAUGUCUGAAGUUUUAUAUGUAUGUGUAACAUACAUGUAUAUAUACAUAUACAUGUAUAUACACACACAAACAUACACAUACAUACACUGAAGGUCUUAACAAUAUAUUAGAGAGAAGAAAAGAUUAGUGAACAUAACAAUAUCGUAAUAGAAACUUUUCAAAAUUAAACACAGGAAGGAAAAACAAAAAUACCAUUAAAAGAACACUAGAGAGCUGUGGAAAAGCUGUUAAGAAACCUAAUAUACAUGUAAGUGUAACUGUUGGAGGAGAGGGGGUUUGGAAAAAAUAUUUGAAAAAAUAAUAGCCAAAAAUUUGUGAAACUUAAUAAAACCUAUAAUCACAUAUCAAAGAAGCAUAGUGACCCCAAGCAUAAGAGACAUGAAGAAAAUUACACCAAGGCCCAACAUAAUCAAUUUGCUAACACCAUAUUACAUUUAAAGCAUGAAAGAUUAAUGUAGCAGAAGAUUUUUUUUUUGUCAGAAACAAUGGAAGCCAGAACACAGUAGACAAAUGUCUUUAAAAUACUGAAAGAAAAAAAAAGAUGUCACUCCAGAAUCCUAUAUUCAGUGAAAAUGUAUUUCACAUUUGAAGGCAAAAUACUUUUUUCAUACACACAGUAGUUGAAAGUAUUUAUCGUCAGCACAUUCACUGUACAAGAGAUAUUAAAGGAAGUUUUUAGGAAAAAGGAAAAUGACACCAGAUGACAAUUUCAACCAUAACAAAGAAAUGAAGGCUAGAAACAACUACAACAUGGGUAAAUAUAUAAGAGCUUUUUCUUACAUUUAAAUCUGUGACCCUAAAUUAACAUUUAAACAAAAAUAAUAUUAAUGUAGUGUGGGGUUUAUAACAUAUGUAAAAGCAAAACGUAUGACAAUAAUAGCCUAAAGGACAAAAAGAGAAAAAUGUAAGUAUACUACUAUAAAGUUCAUACAUUAUAUGUGAAGCCGUAUACUAUCACUUGUAGGUAUACUACAGUAACUUAAAGUUGUACAUUACAGGCCGGGCACGGUGGCUCAUGCCUGUAAUCCCAGCACUUUGGGAGGCUGAGGUGGGUGGAUCACCCAAGGUCGGGAGUUUGAGAUCAGCCUGACCAACAUGGAGGAAGCCCGUCUCUACUAAAAAUAAAAAAAAUUAGCUGGGAGCGGUGGCGCAUCCCUGUAAUCCCAGCUACUCAGGAGGCUGAGGCAGGAUAAUCGCUUGAACCUGGGAGGCGGAGGUUGCGGUGAGCUGAUAUCCCAACAUUUCCCUCCAGCCUGGGCAACAAGAGUGAAACUCUGUCACAAAUAAAUAAAUAAAUAAAUAAAUAAAUAAAUAAAUAAAUAAAUAUAAAAAUAAAAAUAAGAUGUACCUUACAAACUCUAAAGCACCUUUUAAAAUAACAUGGUAGAAAUUUAUAACUAAAAAUCCAACAAAAGAGACAAAAUAAACUAAAAACAGUCAAUUCAAAAGUAACCACCCUGAAUUACUACUACUUCCCUAAUAGAAUGGCUAUAAUUAAAAAGAAUGACCAUAUCACAUGUUGGCAAGGCUGUAGAGCAACUGGAAUUCUCAUGCACUGCUGGUUGAAAUCCAAAAUGGUACAAUCACUUUGGAAAAACAUUAGGAAAGUUAAGCAAAAAUUUACCAUAUAUCCUAGCUGUUUUAUUCCUAUGCAUUUACCCCGAAGAAAUGAAAGCUUAUGUCUAUAAAAGACUUGUACAGAUUUUCAUAGCAAUCUUAUAUUAGCCUCAAACUGUAAACAUCCCAGUUGGCCAUCAACAGGUGAGUACUGUGGUAUAUCCAUGCAAUGGAAUAUUACUUAGCAGUAAAAACAAUGAACUAUUGUCACAUUGUACAACAUGGAUGAAUAUCAGAAUAAUUAUUCUGAGUUAAAGAAGCCAAACUCAAAAAGGACAUACUCUAUAAUUACAUUUGUAUACAAUUCUAGAGAACUAAAGAUAUUCUCUGGUAGAAAGCAGAUAAAGAGUUUCCUGGUGGAUGAGAAAGAAGGAAUGGUAGAAAGAAGUAGACAGGAGGGUUUCCAAAUGGCAUGAGGAAACUUUUGGUGUGAUGGAUGUAUUCACUGUCUUGACUUAAUGAUGGUUUCAUGGUUAUACACAUAUGUCAAAACUCAUCAAAUUAUACAGUUUUUAAUAUGUGCAGUUUGUUGUAUGUAAAUUAUAUGACAAAGAAGGAGACAGUGAGAGAGAGGGAGACCAAAUUCAAAAUUCUUUUUGGCGAGGUAAAGCCAAAUGUAACAAUUUGCUCACAUGAAUAGGUGCUGUCCCUGCCACAUGUAAAUUUCAUUGUACAUUAUAUUAACGGCUUUCUAGUAAUACAGAUUUUCCAGAGAGACUUCCGCAUGUCUGCUGACCCAAGGCUUUCACACAAUCAAAUGUAGGAGUCAACCCAAACAAACACACUUUAAAAGUUGAAUAAAAUAAUGUCACCUUUCUUUCAAACCCCUGAAUUCCAUACUUGGUUAAAAUUAUAGGCAUGCCAUUGACUAUAAAACCAUGAAGUGUCUAUUCUAUUAAGCAUGCUAACAUAUAUCUUUCUGUUACUUUUAUCAGUGGUGUAGCUCCUUCCCCAAACCUCCAUCUCCUUAAUUCUCUAACAUUAUUUCUAGCUCCAGGGGCUCUUUUCAUUUACUUUUUAAUGCUGUUCUCUUAACUCAUAGAUUUAUUUCAAGAUUUUCACCUCAUUCUUACAUGUUCUAUCUUUGAUUUGAUUCUAAUGAUAGCUCUUUUUCUUGAACUCUUCCAGGUCUCUUGAGAAAUUUUGUCUUAAAACUUUAUAUCUUGGAAAAAUUUGACUGUCUUAGCUACUCAUGAUGUACAGGAAUAUAGAAGUCAGGGUCACAGCAAAACAGAACUCACCCCAGGAGGUUCAAAUAAAAAAACUUUACUGAAGAGAUGACUUUUUAAUGAAGGUGUAAAACCAAAAGGGAUUUCCAGAACCAUGGAUGUGGAGCUGCAUUUAGAGAGGUGAUCAACUUAUUCCCGUUGACCCUGGACUGUCCUGGUUUUAGCACUGAAACUACCCAGUCCUGGGAAACUCCUCAGCGCUGGGCAAAUCAGAUUGUUGGCGAUCCUAUUGUUUUCUCAUCUACCUGAUGAAAGCCAUUGAAUAAUGUAAAAUGAGUUAGAAAUGUAAAGUAAUAUGAUUUUUACGGCAUGGUUAUCUUAUAGGUCAUGUAUUGGUCCUAUCUCUAGACUUCAGAGUCU